AUUGAACGCUGGCGGCAGGCCUAACACAUGCAAGUCGAACGGUAACAGGAAGCAGCUUGCUGCUUCGCUGACGAGUGGCGGACGGGUGAGUAAUGUCUGGGAAGCUGCCUGAUGGAGGGGGAUAACUACUGGAAACGGUAGCUAAUACCGCAUAAUGUCGCAAGACCAAAGAGGGGGACCUUCGGGCCUCUUGCCAUCGGAUGCGCCCAGAUGGGAUUAGCUUGUUGGUGGGGUAACGGCUCACCAAGGCGACGAUCCCUAGCUGGUCUGAGAGGAUGACCAGCCACACUGGAACUGAGACACGGUCCAGACUCCUACGGGAGGCAGCAGUGGGGAAUAUUGCACAAUGGGCGCAAGCCUGAUGCAGCCAUGCCGCGUGUAUGAAGAAGGCCUUCGGGUUGUAAAGUACUUUCAGCGGGGAGGAAGGGAGUAAAGUUAAUACCUUUGCUCAUUGACGUUACCCGCAGAAGAAGCACCGGCUAACUCCGUG
rnacentral:rRNA from 1 species